GACGUAGGGCGCGAGCGUUGUCCGGAUUUAUUGGGCGUAAAGAGCUCGUAGGCGGCUUGUCGCGUCGACUGUGAAAUCCCGUGGCUCAACUGCGGCUUGCAGCCGAUACGGGCAGGCUAGAGUUCGGUAGGGGAGACUGGAAUUCCUGGUGUAGCGGUGAAAUGCGCAGAUAUCAGGGGGAACACCGGUGGCGAAGGCGGGUC
rnacentral:rRNA from 1 species